UAACGAAGAACAAGAGCUCCCCGUUGU
rnacentral:sRNA from 1 species